UUUGCUCAUGUGUGGCAGCUCUACAGCAUCUCCAGCAGCUCGCGAGGGCCCUGCAGGUCACAGCGCUGGAGGGAGUGAGUGUGUGAGCAUCAGCCCGAUGGUCCGGCUCCUCUGUGGGCUCAAGUGAGGGCUUCAGCACAUACUUUGAAGGCCUCAAAGUCCUCUGUCAGUGUGGAGCGACGAGGAGUGAAUCAACGUCUGUGUAGGUAAUGCAGAGGUCUCCCACUUGGAUGAAAGACUAUGGACAGCAUGUAGUGAAAAUAACCAAGAAGCAUCGGAUGGCCUGUGCCAACAUAUAUCCGUUUAUGUAUGUUUGCUCUCAACAUUUUCAUAAAGGUAGGUGUGAUUACACAGUUAUUGGAAGCAGUUAAGAAAAAACACACUGCAGUCAGUUGAGAUGAUGACCCACCAGCCUGGAGGAGAUGAUCGGCUAUACAGAGAGGAGGAGCACGCAGGGCUGGGGCAGAUGAUCGACUACAUACAGAGGAGGAGCAGGCGAGGCUGAAGGAGAUGAUCGGCUACACACAGAGGAGGAGCAGGGAAGGCUGGAGUAGAUGGUCGGCGACACACAGAGGAGGAGCACGCAAGGCUGGAUGAGAUGAUCGGCUACACAGAAGGAGGAGCACAGAAGGCUGGGGGAAGAUGGUCGGCUACACACAGAGGAGGAGCACACAAGGCUGGUGGAGAUGGUCGGCUGCACAUAGAGGAGGAGCAUGCAAGGCUGGAGGAGAUGGUCGGCUACACACAGAGGAGGAGCACACAAGGCUGGGGGAGAUGGUCGGCUACACAUAGAGGAGGAGCACAGAAGGCUGGGGGAGAUGGUCGGCUACACACAGAGGAGGAGCAUGCAAGGCUGGAGGAGAUGGUCGGCUACACAUAGAGGAGGAACACACAAGGCUGGGGGAGAUGUUCGGCUACACAUAGAGGAGGAGCAUGCAAGGCUGGAGGAGAUGAUCGGCUACACACAGAGGAGGAGCACACAAGGCUGGGGGAGAUGGUCGGCUACACAUAGGGGAGGAGCACACAAGGCUGGAGGAAGUGAUCGGCUACACACAGAGGAGGAGCACAAAAGGCUGGGGGAGAUGGUCAGGUACACAAAGAGGAGGAGCACGCAAGGCUGGGGGAGAUGAUCGGCUACACACAGAGGAGGAGCACGCAAGGCUGGGGGAGAUGGUCGGCUACACACAGAGGAGGAGCACGCAAGGCUGUAGGAGAUGGUCGGCUACACACAGAGGAGGAGCACGCAAGGCCGGGGGAUGGUUGGCUACACACAGAAGAGGAGCACGCAGGGCUGGAGGAGAUGAUCGGCUACACACAGAGGAGGAGCACGCAAGGCUGGAGGAGAUGAUCGGCAACACACAGAGGAGGAGCACGCAAGGCUGGGGGAGAUGGUCGGCUUCUCACAGAGGAGGGGCAGGCAAGGCUGGGGGAGAUGGUCGGCUACUCACAGAGGAGGAGCGCGCAAGGCUGGAGGAGAUGGUCGGCUACGCACAGAGGAGGAGCAUGAAAGGCUGGGGGAUGGUCGGCUACACACAGAAGAGGAGCACACAGGGCUGGAGGAGAUGAUCAGCUACACACAGAGGAGUAGCACGCAAGGCUGGGGGAGAUGGUCGGCGACACACAGAGGAGGGGCAGGCAAGGCUGGGGGAGAUGGUCGGCUACUCACAGAGGAGGAGCGCGCAAGGCUGGAGGAGAUGGUCGGCUACGCACAGAGGAGGAGCAUGAAAGGCUGGGGGAUGGUCGGCUACACACAGAAGAGGAGCACACAGGGCUGGAGGAGAUGAUCGGCUACACACAGAGGAGGAGCACGCAAGGCUGGGGGAGAUGGUCGGCUACACAGAGAGGAGGAGCACGCAAGGCUGGGGGAGAUGGUUGGUCGGCUACACACAGAGGAGGAGCACGCAAGGCUGUAGGAGAUGAUCGGCUACACACAGAGGAGGAGCACGCAAGGCUGGGGGAGAUGGUCGGCUACACAGAGAGGAGGAGCAUGUAAGGCUGGGGGAGAUGGUCGGCUACACAGAGAGGAGGAGCACGCAAGGCUGGGGGAGAUGGUCGGCUACACACAGAGGAGGAGCACGCAAGGCUGUAGGAGAUGAUCGGCUACACACAGAGGAGGAGCACGCAAGGCUGGGGGAGAUGGUCGGCUACUCACAGAGGAGGGGCAGGCAAGGCUGGGGGAGAUGGUCGGCUACACACAGAGGAGGAGCACGCAAGGCUGGGGGAUGGUCGGCUACACACAGAGGAGGAGCACGCAAGGCUGGGGGAUGGUCGGCUACACACAGAAGAGGAGCACACAGGGCUGGAGGAGAUGAUCGGCUACACACAGAGGAGGAGCACGCAAGGCUGGAGGAGAUGAUCGGCUACACACAGAGGAGGAGCACGCAAGGCUGUAGGAGAUAGUCGGCUACACACAGAGGAGGAGCACGCAAGGCUGGGGGGGGUGGUCCGGCUACACACAGAGGAGGAGCACACAGGGCUGGAGGAGAUGAUCAGCUACCCACAGAGGAGGAGCACGCAAGGCUGGAGGAGAUGAUCAACCACACACAGAGGAGGAGCAUGCAAGGCUGGGGGAGAUGGUCGGCUACAUACAGAGGAGGGGCAGGCAAGGCUGGAGGAGAUGGUUGGCUACACACAGAGGAGGAACACGCAAGGCUGGAGGAGAUGAUCAGCGACACACAAAGGAGGAGCAGGCAAGGCUGGAGGAGAUGGUCGGCUACACACAGAGGAGGAGCACGCAAGGCUGGGGGAUGGUCGGCUACACACAGAAGAGGAGCACACAGGGCUGGAGGAGAUGAUCGGCUACACACUGAGGAGGAGCACGCAAGGCUGGAGGAGAUGAUCGGCUACACACAGAGGAGGAGCACGCAAGGCUGUAGGAGAUGGUCGGCUACUCACAGAGGAGGAGCACGCAAGGCUGGGGGGGUGGUCGGCUACACACAGAGGAGGAGCACACAGGGCUGGAGGAGAUGAUCAGCUACCCACAGAGGAGGAGCACGCAAGGCUGGAGGAGAUGAUCAACCACACACAGAGGAGGAGCAUGCAAGGCUGGAGGAGAUGGUUGGCUACACACAGAGGAGGAACAUGCAAGGCUGGAGGAGAUGAUCGGCGACACACAAAGGAGGAGCAGGCAAGGCUGGAGGAGAUGGUUGGCUACACACAGAGGAGGAACACGCAAGGCUGGAGGAGAUGAUCGCGACACACAAAGGAGGAGCAGGCAAGGCUGGAGGAGAUGGUCGGCUACACACAGAGGAGGAGCACGCAAGGCUGGGGGAUGGUCGGCUACACACAGAAGAGGAGCACACAGGGCUGGAGGAGAUGAUCGGCUACACACAGAGGAGGAGCACGCAAGGCUGUAGGAGAUGGUCGGCUACACACAGAGGAGGAGCACGCAAGGCUGGGGGGGUGGUCGGCUACACACAGAGGAGGAG